GUGCUGGGCAGGAGGGCAAAGCCCUAUAAAUAGAUUUACAGUCUACCACCUAUUCGGCCACCUAACC
rnacentral:tRNA from 1 species